rnacentral:rRNA from 1 species
AUUGAACGCUGGCGGCAUGCCUAACACAUGCAAGUCGAACGGCAGCGCGGGGGCAACCCUGGCGGCGAGUGGCGGACGGGUGAGGAAUGCAUAGGAAUCUGCCCGGCUGUGGGGUAUAACGUAGGGAAACUUACGCUAAUACCGCAUACGACCUUCGGGUGAAAGUGGGGGACCUUCGGGCCUCACGCGAUCGGAUGAGUCUAUGCCCGAUUAGCUAGUUGGCGGGGUAAGAGCGCACCAAGGCGACGAUCGGUAGCUGGUCUGAGAGGAUGAUCAGCCACACUGGAACUGAGACACGGCCCAGACUCCUACGGGAGGCAGCAGUGGGGAAUAUUGGACAAUGGGCGCAAGCCUGAUCCAGCAAUGCCGCGUGUGUGAAGAAGGCCUUCGGGUUGUAAAGCACUUUUGUUCGGGAAGAAAUCCGUGUGGUUAAUACCCGUACGGGAUGACGGUACCGAAAGAAUAAGCACCGGCUAACUUCGUG